rnacentral:rRNA from 1 species
UAACGAAGAGUUUGAUCCUGGCUCAGGAUGAACGCUGACAGAAUGCUUAACACAUGCAAGUCAUUGGCGAAGCUGCGCUUGCGCAGUCUAGCCAAGGCGGACGGGUGAGUAACGCGUAAGGAACUUGCCCUGCAGACAGGGAUAACAGACGGAAACGACUGAUAACACCUGGUAUUGUCAGGCUGGCGCAUGCCGGCCUGAUGAAAGGAGACGCUGCAGGAGAGCCUUGCGUCCUAUUAGCUAGUUGGUGGGGUAACGGCCCACCAAGGCGAUGAUAGGUAGCCGGCCUGAGAGGGUGAACGGCCACAAGGGG